AUGGACAUCAAGUGGUGGGCUUUUCUGAUGCAAGUGGAGGGUAGGUUGACUCCUGCUCGCAUGUCGACACCUCCGUUACGGGUCAUCAGGUACCCAGAUCUCAUGGAGAAGGGAUGGGGAUGGUGGAGAUUACUGCCGAUCUAUCGGGACAUGGAUUCAGACAUGCCGCUGUAUCGGCAAUACCUCUGCGAGUACUACCUCCGCAAUCCUCCUGAAUCUGUUGAUGGCAUUGGCGCCACCUUCACCGAGCAAAAGGUCGUGGUGCGAUCUGCAUGGACUAAUGAGAGUGGCCGCCUCAUUCCUCUUGCCAACAAGUGCCUUGAAAUGGAGGCCAAGCUCUUGUAUCUGUGUGAUACGAACAUGACAAAACCAACUGACAAGGAGACUGCCCUGAGCCGCGGCAUCAAGGGGCGCGCGCAUGACAUAAUCAAUGGAGCGUGUGAAUACCUUGGUGCAUAUGCUGCUGCCGCUGCUUUGGUGUGUAUCUCCAAAGAGGCCGAGUUGAUGUGCGAGUGGGUUACAAGUCGGGAAUACAAGUCCUCUUACAGAAAUUGCAUGGAGAGCAACCAGAUCAGAGAGCAUGCCUUGAGCCUCAUGUUGUACAAAGGGUCUGGAUCCAUUAUGGCCGCCGCUGGCGCCGCCAUGGUGGGUGCUGCAGAGGAAGCCAAGCUGUUACUUCAGUUUCUGAGGCAAGACCAAAGCAUUGAUAAAUCGAUGUGUGAUGCUAUCCGGGAGGAAGCCUGCUGCAUUCUGCAGGACAUGUGCACUGAAGCUUUUGGUGCUAAUGCGAAGAACAGCUUUGUUGCUGCUGGUGAUGGAGUAGAGGAAUCUACAUGCAGGAUCAACACUGUCGGAAAAUCGCCUUGUCGUGAAUCUAAUGACAAGGAAGAUCCUAAAAGGGAGUUAGCAAGUGAAGGGUGCACAGAAAAGAUAGCGCUGAACGGGAAGGAGGGUAAUAUGGAGAAUGGGAUCAAGGAAAACACGGAGAAAACCGACAACUACACGCCUAGUGGCAAGGACAAUCGGGUACCAGCAGCCACUGAUUCUGAGAGUGUCACAUCCCUGACCGCACCUGCUGCCAUGGAGCAUAGGGACUUGACAGAGAGGGCUGAUGUUAAAGCCAGUGCUCCUGCACUUCCUCCUGCUCCUGAGAGCACCAAAUUGACUGUAGAGGCGAAGAUCGACAUGAUCUUCGGCAUGGUAAUAGGGAUGGCUAAGGACAUUGCGAUCAUUAAGGGGAGUCUGGAGAAGAUGCAUGCAACGCCGAGAGAAGCGAGUGAAGUGCCGGUAGGAUCUGAAUUUGGAGAUUCGGGUGUUCGCACUCCCUCGCAUCGAUCUUCUUGCGGCUCGGACAACACGGAGUUCACCAUGGUUGACUUUGAUUUCGCCAAGGACUAG
rnacentral:rRNA from 1 species